rnacentral:misc_RNA from 1 species
CCCGUGGGCGAAAAACCCACGUCAAAAAAUAAAAUAAAAAGAAGGAAAAAAAACAAAAGGGAAAUGUGUCGUGUUUUGAUUUGACUGGCACUACUGGUGGUACAAGUCUGCUGCUGGCCCUUUUUUUUCUCUGUUUCAAGGUCUCGAUCCGUUAGCGUUAGUUUGCCCAGUUACCCAGUUCGUGUAGAGCUUGCUGGCCCUGUGUGAGACCCACCCUCGAAACAGGACAGGCCAAAACCAAAUAGAAAAUAGAGACGAAAAUAACAAACCAAACCGAGUCGAAUCACACCUGUUUAAUCACGUUGGAAGCUUCUGGACAAAAACACACUGGACGGUAUACGGAUUUAUAAAACAGUUGCAAGGUCGAACAGACGACUGGGCAGAGGACAUUGGUGACGUUUCAUUUUCGCCAGGUAAAAACAAUUUCAGUCAAAAAACAGGUGAGAGAGAAUAUGGAAGGAGUAUUGGAAGAAGAAGCCCGUUCUGUCGGCGUUUGGGCCUGGCUAAGCCUGUCGAGUCUUCUGCUAGGAUUAUUAGCGUUGCUAUGGUUACGCUUCAACUCACAACAACGCAGUCAACUGCUGCAGCUGCCGCCGGGACCGUCCGGUUUGCCUUUGCUCGGCUACUUGCCUUGGAUCGACAGCCGGGCGCCUUACGAGACCUUUGCCGGGCUGAGUCGCCGCUACGGCCGCAUUUACUCGCUCAAACUGGGCGACAUGUUGGCCGUUUUCAUCAGCGAUCCUCAACUCGUCCGCCAGGCUUUUAGCCGGCCCGUUUUCUCCGGCCGGGCUCCGCUCUAUCUCACCCACGGCAUCAUGAAAGGCCACGGAUUGAUUUGCGCCGAAGGCGAGUCGUGGCGGGAGCACCGUCGCUUCGUCAUGAACGUCAUGAAACAACUGGGCAUGGCCGGACGUCAAGGCGCCUCUGUCAUGGAGUCCCGUGUCAUGGCCGGCGUCCUGGAAUUUGUCCACGGACUGGAGUGUCAGAUGACGGACGGUGGCGUCGGUGGCGUCGAUUUGGUGCCGGGAUUGCGUCACUGCAUCGGCAACAUCAUCAACGGCGUCGUUUUCGGGCGGACGUACGCGGCCGACGAUCCGACCUGGAUUUGGCUCCAGCACCUGCUGGACGAAGGCGUCAAACAGGUGGCCGUCGCCGGGCCCAUCAAUUUCCUGCCCGUUCUCAGGUUCUUGCCCAGCUAUCGGAAAAUCAUGUCGUUCAUCCUUGACGGCCAAGCCGAGACUCACCGCCACUACCAGGAGAUAAUCGACCAGCGCCAGCUCAAUCUCUCCGCCAAUCAAGAUUACACCAGCGUCGUCGAGGCCUACCUAAUAGAAAUGGAACGUCGUCAAUCAGCCGGAAUCCCGACCGAAACCUUCACCACUGUCCAGCUGCACCACGUGCUGGCCGACAUGUUUGGUGCGGGGACGGACACGGCAUUGACGACCAUCAAGUGGAUCGUCCUCUACUUGAUCCUCUACCCGGACGUGCAAGAGCGAAUUCACGAGGAAAUCGAGCGAGUCGUCGGACAAUUGGAUCAAGGAAGAAUUCCGUGCUACGCCACAGAUGCCCAGCGGAUGCCGUGGACGGAGGCCACCAUCUGCGAGGUCCAGCGCAUCAAGACCAUCCUCCCGCUGGGAGUCCCGCACGGAACAUUAGAUGAUUGCGAAUUGGCCGGUUACCGGAUCCCUAAAGGGGCCAUGGUCGUGCCCGUCUGGUGGGCCAUGAAUCUCGAUCCGACCUUGUGGCCGGAACCUUUACAGUUCCGUCCGGAGCGUUUCCUCGUUGCCCGCCAAGAAGAGGAGGAGGAAGAAGAAGAAAAAUGGCGAGUCGAGAAACCGGAUCAUUUCUUGCCGUUCCAGAGCGGACGGCGGAUGUGCAUCGGCGACGAUCUCGGACGGACUUUGAUUUUCCUAUUCACCGUGACUCUGCUCCAACAUUUCCGGCUCUCCUUCCCGCCGCAAUUCGCCGAGUAUUCCGCAAAUAAUUUCCCGCCGCCCGACUACGGGUUCACACUCGUACCUCAUCCGUUUCCAGUGGCCCUCCAUCCGCGCUAAGCCCUCCGGAAUUUUAAAAUAAUUCUGUGUGUGUGUCUGUUUGUUAGUGUUGAGAAGGAGGGAAAAUAAACACUGAGACAACCAACGUGAGUGUGUGUGUGCGUGGUCAGUGUGUGUGUGGUUCUCCAUAUUUGCCUUGGUAUCGGGACCAGUUUUUUGAUUUUCUUUGGUCGAAAUUAAAUUCCAAGGUUGUCAGAUUAUGGGCGUCGCCGCGGUCAGGUAAUAUAGGAGACCAUCAGUGUGGUUCGAUCCUUCUUCCCGGCCAGGUAAACAAUUUGAUCCCAUCCCAGUUGAUGUAAUUUAAUCAAAUAGAAAUUGUUCAAAUAUAAUAGAAAUUUGGUUUUGGUUUUGGUUUUUGGUUUUUUUUCGAUUGGGAUGAAUUUUGAUUUUUGAUUUGGUUUUUCUAGCGUUUCUAUUCGGACGAGGUCGGUUGUUCAACUUGUGCGAUGAUUUGUUUGUGGAAAGUGUAUACAGUGAUCGAAUUAC